rnacentral:rRNA from 1 species
UUCGCAAUGCCCGAAAGGGUGACGAAGCGACGCCGCGUGGGUGAAGAAGGCCUUCGGGUUGUAAAGCCCUGUCAGGAGUUAUGAAAUGUAGGUGCGAUAAUACCGUGCCUAUUUGACAAAGGCUCCAAAGGAAGCCACGGCUAACUCUGUGCCAGCAGCCGCGGUAAUACAGAGGUGGCAAGCGUUGUUCGGAAUUAUUGGGCGUAAAGAGCACGUAGGUGGGUUUGUAAGUCAGAUGUGAAAGCCUUCUGUUCAACGGAAGAAUUGCAUCUGAAACUGCGAGUCUUGAGUGUAGGAGGGGAGAAUGGAACUUCUGGUGGAGCGGUGAAAUGCGUAGAUAUCAGAAGGAACGCCGGCGGCGAAAGCGAUUCUCUGGCCUAUUACUGACACUGAGUGUGCGAAAGCUAGGGGAGCAAACGGGACUAGAUACCCCGGUAGUCCUAGCCGUAAACGAUGGGCACUAAGUAGAGGGGUUUU